rnacentral:ncRNA from 1 species
CAAACAGGGGUGCUUAGGCUGAGAUUAUACCCUUAACCUGAUACAGGUAAUUCUGACGUAGGGAGUUAUGUUAUU